AUGCUGGAUUAUAUGGAUUUUUGCAGAUCAUUGGUGGAAAAGAAGUCCUGCCCAAGAAAUUCAGCAUUAUUGUUUCUUCUACUCAUCUGUCUGUUCCUGUCAUCAUCAGUAACUCUUCAAAAUGUUCUACAUCAUCAUCAUCAUCAUAUUGUUCAUUGGUGUGUUCAGUGUGAACGGCCUCUUACUGAUUCAGUUUGGUUAGUGAUACAUAUUUCUCUUUCCAUUACAACAUCAGAUUCGUCCACACAUUAUAUAGAGCUGGUUUACUUUUUUGCUCUGGCUGUGGUUGCAGUUUUCUGUUGUAUUUUCUAUUACUAUCACCAAAGGACAUCUAAACAAGAGGCUAAUCAAGGCCAACCUGAUGGAGAAGAACACAUCUGGCUGACUAAUGGUGAGAGACUAUUUAACUAUGACUCUUGUGUUUAUAUAUGGCUUGAUUCUGUCCACUGACACAGUGAUAUCUCAUUGUGUUAACUCUACAGCUUAAAUUAACUAUGUUUUUAUUGCUACGAGACAUUUUUUUUUCAGCAGGUGCAGAAACGCCUGAUCAGGAGAAACAUUCAAAAAACAGUAAGUUACUGUACAACUAAUACAUUUUAUGGUUCCGAACUUUCUAAGUUUGAUAUGAUUACAAAGAUACCACUGCUGUAAACAUGAACAUUAUUCAUUGUGCGAUGAAACCUAAAUUGUUUAUCCCAAGUACGGAUGCUUAUUUACAACAUUUCAAGAUGGCACCACUGAGUUCGGAUGCUUUCCAGGUCGCUUUCACUUCGAUUGUGUUUGUAUUUACUUUUGCACUUUAUAUUGCUCUCUCUUUUUACACACAUAUUGUCUGCAGUGAUCACUUAUGACAAAGGAACACUUUUGAACAUUGGACACCGAUUGGACUUUAUCUUGCAACCCAACAUGGCCAUCUGAGAUUCUCUGGAACGUCUAGAUGAACAAUGGCUACCUGAAUAACCACCUCCACGUCAACAGUCAUGAAGGUCUUUGAGAAACUCAUAAAGAACAGCAUCUGCUCCUCCAUUCCUGAUAAUUUGGACCCUCUUCAGUUUGCCUAUCACCCCAAUAGAUCCACUGAAGAUGCCAUCUCUCACGUCCUGCAGUCUUCUCUCACGCACAUUGACAGCAGCAAUGGGAACUAUGUAAGAGUGCUAUUUUCGAUUAUAGCUCAGCUUUCAGUACUAUAGUCCCCAUCAAGCUAGCUUUUAAACUCAUGGACCUUGGCCUGAAUUCUUCAUUAUGCAACUGGAUUCUUGAUUUCCUCACCACCAGACCUCAAGUGGUGAAACUAGGCCAGUACACCUCCAGCUCCAUCAGCCUGAAUGGAGGAGCCCCACAGGGCUGUGUCCUGAGACCUCUUCUCUACUCUCUCUACAACAUGACUUUGUGUCUUCGCACAGCUCCACAUCUAUAAUCAAAUUUGCUGAUGAUACUAUGGUUCUGGGCCUCCAUUCCAACAAUAAUGAGAACGCAUACUUGAAUGAGGUAGAGAAACUCACAUCAUGGUGCCAGGAAAAUUGUCUCUAUAUGAAUGUGAGUAAAACUGAAGAGCUGAUUGUGGACUUCAGGAAGAGACAACAGCAGCCUUAAGCCCCUUUCAUACUGCAUGUUGGACCCAAAAAAUCAGUAAGAUACUGAAUAUAUUGACAUUGUCACUUGCUAUUUCUAUACUUUUUAAUUUUUAUUUAUUAACUCUUUUUUUUUACCUCUAUUGCCGCUAUGUAAAAACCCUGUACAACCUGUUUGCACAUUCUUCCCAUGUACAUUCAUCUUGUACUCAUCUUAAUAUUUAUUAAGUCUAAGGUAUACUGUCCUGUGCAUUUUAUUUUAAAGCUUUUUAUUUAAUUCUUAUUUUUAUCUUUUUCCAUAUCUUAUAUUUUGUAUAUAAGAUUAUAUAUUCAUAUUUAUAUUUUGUAUUAUUUUCUUGUGUUUGUAUUCUUUAAUAAUUGCACUGUCCAUGGUGCGUACCUGACUUAGAUUUCACUGCUGGUCAUAUGAUCUCCAUAUAACCAUGUA
ensembl:lncRNA